CGUCGGGGAUGAUGAUAGACAUCAACCACACAGACCUGUUCUGAGACGGGCAAACGCCCGGUGCAGAGAACACUGAUCAUGCACCACUCUGACCCAACG
rnacentral:snoRNA from 1 species